rnacentral:lncRNA from 1 species
UUUGAUUAGGAUUCGGGGGGUGGUCGACCGUCAUAGAAACCCGGAUGGAGUCUGGUUACCAUAGGGCUCUCGUUGUCGGUGAAGCUCGGAUGCUGAUGAAGUCCGAAAGAAGUGCGGAGGGUAGUUGGUUGCUGUAGAAGGUCGGCUGACAGUGAGCCCUAGAGGGCCUUCGGGGCAGCCCGAGGGACGAAUGCAGAAGUUCAUUGUCGGAGAAGUCUGGACGAUCGAGGAGGUUCGGAGAGGCGCCACCCACAAGGUCGG